rnacentral:rRNA from 1 species
AACGAACGCUGGCGGCACGUUUUAAGCAUGCAAGUUGAAUGGCAGCAGGGGCAACUCUGUGAGAAUGGCGAACGGGUGAGUAACACGUAGGUGAUCUGCCUUGAGGAUGGGGAUAGCCUGUGGAAACACAGGGUAAUACCGAAUGAGCUGACGAGACUUUGGUUUUGUUAGUAAAGGUGCUACGGCACCGCCUUGAGAGGAGCCUGCGGCUGAUAGCUAGUUGGUGGGGUAAGAGCUUACCAAGGCGACGAUCAGUAGCCGGCCUGAGAGGGUGUACGGCCACACUGGAACUGAGACACGGUCCAGACUCCUACGGGAGGCAGCAGCUAAGAAUCUUCCGCAAUGGGCGAAAGCCUGACGGAGCGAUGCCGCGUGAUCGAUGAAGGUCGAGAGAUUGUAAAGAUCUUUUCUACAUGAGGAAUAAGUCUGGGAGGGAAUGCCCGGAUGAUGACGUUAGUGUAGGAAUAAGCCCCGGCUAAUUACGUGCCAGCCGCCGCUGUAA